UCGUAACAAGGUUUCUGUAGGUGAACCUGCAGAAGGAUCAUUAGUGAAAGUUUCGGGCCUGCCAUACGGACGCAAACACGUCUCUGGCGCCCAUCACUAUAUCCAUACCAACCCCUGUGCACUGUGAUGACGAAUGUCAUCGAACAAAAAAAACUCGUAUGGUUGAAUGUACGUGAAAUUGUAGGUAUAGCCUACGAACUAUACACAACUUUCGACAACGGAUCUCUUGGUUCUCCCAUCGAUGAAGAACGCAGCGAAACGCGAUAGGUAAUGUGAAUUGCAGAAUUCCGUGAAUCAUCGAAUCUUUGAACGCACCUUGCGCUCCAUGGUAUUCCGUGGAGCAUGCCUGUUUGAGUGCCGCGAAUUCUCCCUCCCCUUACGGUGGCCGAAAGGCCGAAGUAGGGCGGACGGGGUAGGAUGGGUGUUGCUGCCUGGGGAUUGUACCAGGCUCGCCCGAAAUGCAUAAGCGCCAGGACCCUCGCUACCGCUCUCUAGGGAAGAGUGGCUAAGCGACCGCUGAGCAUGGCAUGAUACGUCAUUUGCUGUGUGUGGGCGGCCGGUUGGAGAGGUGUCUGCUUUACCAGCCCUUUUUUAAUUCUGGUCUCAAAUCAGGUAGGAUCACCCGCUGAACUUAAGCAUAUCAAUAAGCGGAGGA
rnacentral:misc_RNA from 1 species